rnacentral:rRNA from 1 species
UACAGAGGUCUCAAGCGUUGUUCGGAUUCAUUGGGCGUAAAGGGUGCGUAGGCGGCGCCGUAAGUCGGAUGUGAAAUCUUCGGGCUCAACCCGGAAACUGCAUUCGAUACUGCGGUGCUUGAGGACUCGAGAGGAGAUCGGAAUUCACGGUGUAGCAGUGAAAUGCGUAGAUAUCGUGAGGAAGACCAGUGGCUAAGGCGGAUCUCUGGAGAGUUCCUGACGCUGAGGCACGAAGGCCAGGGGAGCAAACGGG